AGAGUUUGAUCCUGGCUCAGAUUGAACGCUGGCGGCAUGCCUAACACAUGCAAGUCGAACGGCAGCACAGGUAGCAAUACCGGGUGGCGAGUGGCGGACGGGUGAGUAAAGCAUCGGGAUCUACCCUGACGUGGGGGAUAACCUCGGGAAACCGGGACUAAUACCGCAUACGUCCUACGGGAGAAAGCGGGGGACCUUCGGGCCUCGCGCGGCAGGACGAACCGAUGUGCGAUUAGCUAGUUGGCGGGGUAACGGCCCACCAAGGCGACGAUCGCUAGCUGGUCUGAGAGGAUGAUCAGCCACACUGGGACUGAGACACGGCCCAGACUCCUACGGGAGGCAGCAGUGGGGAAUAUUGGACAAUGGGCGCAAGCCUGAUCCAGCAAUGCCGCGUGUGUGAAGAAGGCCUUCGGG
rnacentral:rRNA from 1 species